rnacentral:rRNA from 1 species
UAAUUAUUCCUAAAGUAGUAAGAAAUAAAACUAAUUUAACCUGGCGGUCCUAAUUACAUUAGAGAAACUCGCUUUAUAAUCGACAUAACUCGAUAAAUCUAACUUAUUUAAAAAUUCAUAUACCGCCGUUACAAGAAUUAUUAUAACAAAACAAAUCCCCUUAAUAACAAUAAUCUUAAUUAAAUCAGGUCAAGGUGUGAUUAAAAAACAAGAACAAGUAAGUUACAUUAAAAAAAAUAUUAAGAAAAAAAGAUAAAAAAUCAAACAAGAAAAAGAAUUUAUACGUACACUAACAAUCAAAAAUUUUAAUAGAAAAAACCAUAAAGACGC